UGUAGUUUUGACACAUGAGUGAACUGUUUUAGGAGAGAUAUGAGCUUUUGCAGGUGGACCAUGUUGUUGUGAUCAACCAUCCAGGUUUAUUUUGACAAAAGCACCAAGAAUGAUGAGAAUGUCGGAUCUGUGUCGAGAAAUGAGCCAAAGCUAUUGAGAAGGAUCUUUGCCAUUUUGGAGACACUGACUGUUUAAAUGAGAAAGGGAUUUAGAUUGAAGCCUGAGUGAACAGUUUUGGAAGAGAUAUGAGCUUUUGCAGGUGAGCUAUAGUGUUGUGCUGAACUGUAAGAGUGUUUUGCCAAAUGAUCUUAGAGUUUUGAGAAUGUAAUGUCUUGUGGCAGGAUGAAUGUUAUCCCUCGGUCCAACCCACUUUCAGCCUGGCGCAUUAGGGGGCGCUAGUAUAAAUAGUGGCCAUUUGAGUGUCCCUGGAUCGCUUACCUGUGAUCUCCUUUUUGGUCACCUGACUUCCCUUUGGUGUUGCAGAGCUCAUUUGCGGGUUACACUUCUGAAGCCUCCAUCGUGGCUGGUCGUAGCUGUAGAAGCCUCCUCUGAGCCAUUCUGCUCAUGGUUUAUGACGCGGCUUACUCGGAAGUGUGGGCCUUAGUUUUACGCCACGCUACGCGAACCGAAGUGCUGCUGCUUUGUUUUACUUUGUUUUUACUGUCUGUUCCGGCUGCGAAGUUUCUUUCCUACUGCUGCCAGCCUUUAAAGUGGACGUCGGCGUGGACAACGGCCAUAUGCAUGCCACGCGGGUCGGCUGGCGUGCAUACUGAUUGACUGACUGGAUAAUUAACUUAUAGUCAUGCAGACGGCAAGUUGGAGCAAUACGGCGAUUCCGUUUGCUCCAUAUUUUAGAGUUUUAUCUAGAUUGUAUGUUGUGUUUCUGUUGUUUUGAUUUGUAGUUUGGAUUUUUGUUACGCCACUGGUGGGAGGCCCUUUUUCUAGCUGUAGAUCACCAGUGUGGUCCUGCA